GGGAAACAGGUUAAGGGCACAGGCGAGCCGGUCACCCCCAGCCUGACCCCCGCGUCCAUUAGCCAAGCAGCUGAUUGGAGUAGGGAGGCCUCUCGCUGUGUGCUCUGAAAUUGCUUUCAUAAACUAACCAUUAUUAGCAGUCAAUGUGGGCAGCUAAUUUAGAGAAGACAUCCCAGCACAUCACGUCUGUCAUCCAGGUUUAUGUAUCAUUAUCUCAUUUACAGAAUGUCGCAGUGUAAUAUGUGUUUUUGGCAAUAGGCUUGGACCCAUGUGGGGCUCUUUUUAGUGACACAGCAGGGACCCCCUCGAGUAGCCACCUGGUACUCUUCUCUUCACUUCUGUGGGGCCUGGGAUCACACGGAUCAGAGAUCUGGAGCCCCUUGCACACACACACUUACAUACAUGUAUCAAACUCUUGUGGGCACACACAAAUGUACAUACACCCACCCACACAUGAUAUGGGCUCCCAGCAAUCUGCACCCCCUGUCUUGACCCAAGGGAAAGGUGCCCUCCAACCUGGGAGCUAGGAGUGAGUUCUGAUUCCUGCUGGCACCCACUUUCCCCAAGUGUGGCCUUGAGGUGCAUAAACUGCUCUCACCACCCCCUCCGAAGUCUGAGGAGCCCCGGCUGCCCCAUCAUGCACCCACCGGGGAUGGCCCAUUCCAUCCCAGCAGCACUGGCAGCCUGACCUUCCAGCCCUCCGGCAGGUUGUGCGCUCCUCCUGCUGGGGCUCCAGCACAAAUGCGCCCAGAGAAGGCCACCUGUUCGGUGGGUAAUUAUUUUAAUGUGAGGGGCUCAGAGUCACAGACGGUGGCUUGACUACAAGGGCCCCCAGCCUUUCAAAGGAAUUUCCCAGAUGGGCAGGGGAGGAGACUAGGGCGGGUCACCAGGGGCCCUUUAACGAGUUCAUUAGCCAAAUGAUCUCCCACAGCCCAGGGCAGGAAAAGUGCAAGAGGGGAGGAGAGCUGGGCGGUCCUUCCCCUUGAGCUGGGUCUCUGCGGGAGCUGGGAAAGAAAAGGCUCCCCUUGUGCAAGCGGGGUGCGGCUGGCAGCAAUGUCCCACCAGUAUGAGCCUCAGUCUCAGCCACUCUGGAGAAAGUGGUAGGUGUGUGAGGGGAACCAGAGGAAAUCUCCAGAGAAGGACUGUCAAACACCGGAGUGCGGUACAUCCCAGCUGGCUCAGGAGGGGUUAGAGUCCUUCUUAAACGUGUCCACCUCCAGCACUGGCUGUGACCCUGGCUUCCUAGGCCACCCACUCUCAGGAGCUGCAGGAGCUGAGAGCUGGGUACCACUGUUUUGGCCUUCAAACGCAAGCACCUGCUUGCAGGGCUCACCAGCAAGUGGCCAGGUGCUGGUGCUCUUUGGAGGGACAGCAAGCAUGAUGCCACAUGAUGCUCACCAUGUGAACACCUGCUGUCCACUCUGUCCUGAGCCUUAUGACCCUAUGAUGAAAUGAAUUAAAACCUUGCAACAAAACCACAGCUUCCAAGCAGUCUUUCUUUUCUGCUGACAGUAUGGUUCUCCAAUAGUGCUCAGGUGACCCCCACCCCCAUUUUUUCUGUUCCAGGCCCAAAACUUCGAAUCUGUGCCACAGAA